CUGCCACCAGUUCCUCGCAGCUGUGACUCCCCAGGGUAAGAGGCAAAGAGCCACCAGUUCCCAGCUGAGGAAGCCCUGUGAUCAGUGCUGACAGCUCUGCACUGAAAAUUUUUCGUGAUGAAAAGAUUUGAAGAAGAUGAUAGGAGAUGGAGAAGCAGCAGCUGAUCUGCAGACUCCAAGGAGAUCCCAGGAAGCGGUGUCAUCUGCCAAGAUCUUCAGGGACAGAAAGGCCCCUUGACACCUCUUACAUCACACCAAACAGAGCUCCACACCAAGAAAGGAACUGCCCACACCUCACAGAAGCCAUGUUAGUGGACCUUUCUCCACUCGGCAAGCCUUCCUGCGCAGUGGAGGUCAGUGCAGACC